rnacentral:rRNA from 1 species
CCGCGCCGUAAAACGAUGUCUACUUGGAGGUUGUGGCCUUGAGCCGUGGCUUUCGGGAGCUAACGCGUUAAGUAGACCGCCUGGGGAGUACGGUCGCAAGAUUAAAACUCAAAUGAAUUGACGGGGGCCCGCACAAGCGGUGGAGCAUGUGGUUUAAUUCGAUGCAACGCGAAGAACCUUACCUACUCUUGACAUCUACAGAAGCCAGCGGAGACGCAGGUGUGCCUUCGGGAACUGUAAGACAGGUGCUGCAUGGCUGUCGUCAGCUCGUGUUGUGAAAUGUUGGGUUAAGUCCCGCAACGAGCGCAACCCUUAUCCUUGUUUGCCAGCACUUCGGGUGGGAACUCCAGGGAGACUGCCGGUGAUAAACCGGAGGAAGGUGGGGACGACGUCAAGUCAUCAUGGCCCUUACGAGUAGGGCUACACACGUGCUACAAUGGCGCAUACAGAGGGCGGCCAACUUGCGAAAGUGAGCGAAUCCCAAAAAGUGCGUCGUAGUCCGGAUUGGAGUCUGCAACUCGACUCCAUGAAGUCGGAAUCGCUAGUAAUCGUGGAUCAGAAUGCCACGGUGAAUACGUUCCCGGGCCUUGUACACACCGCCCGUCACACCAUGGGAGUGGGCUGCAAAAGAAGUGGGUAGUUUAACCUUCGGGAGGACGCUCACCACUUUGUGGUUCAUGACUGGGGUGAAGUCGUAACAAGGUAACCG